rnacentral:rRNA from 1 species
AACGAACGCUGGCGGCAGGCUUAACACAUGCAAGUCGAGCGCCCCGCAAGGGGAGCGGCAGACGGGUGAGUAACGCGUGGGAAUCUACCCAUCUCUACGGAAUAACGCAUGGAAACGUGUGCUAAUACCGUAUACGUCCUUCGGGAGAAAGAUUUAUCGGAGAUGGAUGAGCCCGCGUUGGAUUAGCUAGUUGGUGGGGUAAAGGCCUACCAAGGCGACGAUCCAUAGCUGGUCUGAGAGGAUGAUCAGCCACACUGGGACUGAGACACGGCCCAGACUCCUACGGGAGGCAGCAGUGGGGAAUAUUGGACAACGGGCGCAAGCCUGAUCCAGCCAUGCCGCGUGAGUGAUGAAGGCCCUAGGGUUGUAAAGCUCUUUCACCGGUGAAGAUAAAGACGGUAACCGGAGAAGAAGCCCCGGCUAACUUCGUGCCAGCCGCCGCCGUAAGAC